CAUCCCAACAGACCCAUGACAGGUGCCAGCUGUGCAGCCUCCCUUCAGACUCCCUGAAUAUUUUGGCCUGUGCUGCACACUGUGGAAAGAAAAGCAUCCUAUGAACCGUCAUACACUCAGACUGGUGCUGAUGAUACGCUCUGUCAAUUCCUUUGUGAUACUGCCCUUGGAACCCAGCUGUCACGCUGUGAGGAAGCCCAAGCCACCCUGUGGAGAGGCACAUGUGGAGAGGAGCAGCAUACAGCACCAACUUGAAAGCCAUGUGAGUGAGUAAUCUUGGAAGUGGAUUCUUCUGCCCCAGCUGUGUGUGUUAGGGGUUAGGGGUGCAGGGUGCAGAGCUGAGCUGUGCCUGCUGAGCUCUGCUCAUUUUGUAGAUUCGUGAGCAAACUAUAUGGUUGCUGUGUUUCUAAGUCACUAAUUUUUGGAGUGGUUUGUUUGC